GGUGGAGCGAUUUGUCUGGUUAAUUCCGAUAACGAACGAGACUCUAGCCUACUAAAUAGUGAGUGGAUCGCCUCGUCCGCUUAACUUCUUAGAGGGACAAACGGCGCUUAGCCGUACGAAAUUGAGCAAUAACAGGUCUGUGAUGCCCUUAGAUGUCCGGGGCUGCACGCGCGCUACACUGAAGGAAUCAGCGUGCAUACUAACCUGGUCCGAAAGGACCGGGUAACCCAAUCAAACUCCUUCGUGAUUGGGAUAGGGACUUGCAAUUAUUUCCCUUGAACGAGGAAUUCCCAGUAAGUGCGGGUCAUAAGCUCGCGUUGAAUACGUCCCUGCCCUUUGUAC
rnacentral:rRNA from 1 species